UACGAAGGGGCUAGCGUUGCUCGGAAUCACUGGGCGUAAAGGGUGCGUAGGCGGGUCUUUAAGUCAGGGGUGAAAUCCUGGAGCUCAACUCCAGAACUGCCUUUGAUACUGAAGAUCUUGAGUUCGGGAGAUGGUGAGUGGAACUGCGAGUGUAGAGGUGAAAUUCGUAGAUAUUCGCAAGAACACCAGUGGCGAAGGCGGCUCACUGGCC
rnacentral:rRNA from 1 species